rnacentral:rRNA from 1 species
AUUGAACGCUGGCGGCAUGCCUUACACAUGCAAGUCGAACGGCAGCACGGGUGCUUGCCCCUGGUGGCGAGUGGCGAACGGGUGAGUAAUACAUCGGAACAUGUCCUGUAGUGGGGGAUAGCCCGGCGAAAGCCGGAUUAAUACCGCAUACGAUCUACGGAUGAAAGCGGGGGACCUUCGGGCCUCGCGCUAUAGGGUUGGCCGAUAGCUGAUUAGCUAGUUGGUGGGGUAAAGGCCUACCAAGGCGACGAUCAGUAGCUGGUCUGAGAGGACGACCAGCCACACUGGGACUGAGACACGGCCCAGACUCCUACGGGAGGCAGCAGUGGGGAAUUUUGGACAAUGGGCGAAAGCCUGAUCCAGCAAUGCCGCGUGUGUGAAGAAGGCCUUCGGGCUGUAAAGCACUUUUGUCCGGAAAGAAAUCCUUGGCUCUAAUACAGUCGGGGGAUGACGGUACCGGAAGAAUAAGCACCGGCUAACUACGUG